rnacentral:rRNA from 1 species
AUGUUCAGCCAAUUCGACCAUGUCAAAUGCAGUUUUGUGUGGAAGAGAGCUGGUAUAUUUGUAAUUGAUGUGUAUGAUGGCACAUCUUCUGAAUGCAAGCUUCCUCUCGAUAGGAGAUCCUCCAGUUUCAGUGUGUUGAAGUCUGACGGAUUGGAGAAUCAGAUGGUAGUCGCUGGAGAGGCAAGGAACUCCCAUGCUUGCAGCGAUGCACUUGGUGGGCAUUCCUUGCAUUUUCCCAUAAAAUCACACGGGUUCAUGUAUUUAAUUAUAGCAAAGUUACCAUGUCUUUAUCAUGCCAGUAUGCCAAUGUGCCCAGAAAUUAGAUAA